UGAGCUGUUUAUUUGUUCUGGUUGAUUGAUCUCUCAUUGAAUUUUUUAGCCCCUUUUUAUGUAUGCAUAUAUAAAAAUGUUUCAGGCUCUGUGUGAGGAGUUAACUAGAAAAGCUGCCACUUUGGUGGCAGAGAAUGAAAACCUAAAGAGGGAGAAAGAAUUGGCUUUGAAAGAGUAUGAGUCUUUGGAGACUACAAAUAAGAACUUGAAGACACAAAUAGCCAAGUCAAUAAACACUGUAGUGGAGAAAACUCCUAUUGAGCCUGUGUCAUCUGUGGCUGAGAUAACACCUUCAUCCGGUAAUGGUCCAUGGUUACUUUAUAACCAUUUUCCAAUCCGGUAAUGGUCCAUGGUUCCUUCAGUCUUCUAAUCCAGUUCAUCUACAAAAUACAUCAUUUAAUUCCAUCGCCAUUCCACUUAAUGCUAAUGUUUCAUGUUCUUCUGAGUCUGAAUCACAUCACAAGCAAAAUAAUCUUAUAAAGAUAAUCGAACUCAAGUAAUCACUUUUUAAAAUUUUAUUUUGAUUUAUCCUUUUGAUUUUUGAGGUUGUAAGUUUCUUUCUUUAGCUUAAUCACUAGAAAAAGAUAAGAAAGCUUUUGAAAUGACUGAGUCAAAAGAGGCAACAUUGCUUGAAGCAGAGAAGAUUUCCUGUCGGAAAUCUGAAGUGGAUUUCAAGUUCCUGUGUUUUUUGCUGGUUUCUCAAGUCAAGAAUUGGGAAGUAACACAUUCCUAUUUUCGAGAUUUAUUGUUCUUUAUUAUUAUUAUUAUUAUUAUUAUUAUUAUUAUUAUUAUUAUUAUUAUUAUUAUUAUUAUUAUUAAGUCAUGUUUUAGGAAAUUGGAGGAUCUAAUGGUGCAACUUCUCCAGCAGUUGAGGCUUUAACCUUCUCUCAUACUUACUGUUUGCUGCUAGCUUUAAUUCAAUUUAGUUGUCCACCAUUUUUUCCUGCAUUAUUUAAAUUCUACUCAUCUUAAUUUUUUGCUUUAUAUUUUUUAAGCAUUUAAUUUAAACUUGAUUCUUGUCGAGUUUCAGUCGGUGAUAUCUAAUUAUGAUACCAUUGACAGGGUAGUGUGCUUAUUGGAUAAAAGCAUUCUGAGUGCACAUGCUCUGAUGCAUUUGUUUUUCAUCUUUUCUAGACUCUAGAAUGUCAUGUCUCCUGAUAAUUGAGAUUAUCUAAUUUUGAAUUUUGUCAUUAAGUUAGGCCAUUUUUUUAUAUAAUCUUGGACUGCUUUUGUCGUUCAACUUCUUUGUAGGGAAAGAAAAGAAGAAUAGCUUCAAAGGUAGGUUUGCAGUACCCUAAUUGUAUUUUCUUAUGUAUAUAUUGAAAUUAAUUUCAUAACAUCUAUUCAAGCAAUGUUGUUGGUACCCUUAUUGUAUUAAUUUAUAUAUUGAAAUUAAUUUAAUUUACUCUUAAACAUGUGAGUCUUCCCCAAUGGCUGAGGAAUCUAGCACUCAAGCAAGUAUUUCAAGAAUAAUCAUGCUGGUUGAGGCUUUGUUUGAGGUUUUAACCUUCUCUCAUGCUUAUUGUUUGCUGCUAGCUUUAAUUCAAUUUAGUUGUCCACCAUUUUUUCCUGCAUUAUUUAAAUUCUACCUAUCUUAAUUCUUUGCUUUAUAUUUUUUAAGCAUUUAAUUUAAACCUGAUUCUUGCUCAGUUUCAGUUGGUGAUAUCUGAUUAUGCUAUGAUUGACAGGGUAGUGUGCUUAUUUGAUAAAAGCAUUCUGAGUGCACAUGCUCUGAUGCAUUUGUUUUUCAUCUUUUCUAGACUCUAGAAUGUCAUGUCUCCUGAUAAUUGAGAUUAUCUAAUUUUGAAUUUUGUCAUUAAGUUAGGCCAUUUUUUUUAUAUAAUCUUGGACUGCUUUUGUCGUUCAACUUCUUUGUAAGGAAAGAAAAGAAUAAUAGCUUCAAAUAGGUAGGUUUGCAUAACCCUAAUUGUAUUUUCUUAUGUAUAUAUUGAAAUUAAUUUCAUAGCAUCUAUUCAAUGCAAUGUUGUUGGCACCUCCUUGGGACUCACCAAUGGCUAUCUCACUAUUUUUGUUGUCACUAUGGCACGAAGAGGUUACAAGGCAAGUUCACCCAACCCACAAUUCACAAAUUAAAAACUAAUAUAAAUACAUUUUAUGGAUUUAAUUUCUAUUUGAAAAGAGAAAUGAUAUUUGAGAAAUCAAUACUAAAUAUUUGCUCAUCUAAUCUAAUAUAAUAAUUUUGAACACCAAAAUUCUGCCAUAUAACCAUACCAUUGAGUAAGGUAACUAAUUUUAAAAUUUUGUUGCUAAAACUCUUGGAGAUCCAUUAAAUAUUCAUUGCAUAGAACUUAUGUUACUCUAAUUGACAUGGUUAGCACAUUAGAGACAAUAUAUAAGUCAGCCAAUGAUUCAAGGGAACAAGUACCUCUGCAUGAUUUUAAAUUUUAGUAUGUUAGGGGUGUCAAGUUAAGUAAUAGUGACUGAAUUCAAGGUGUUAGAAGCCGUUUUUUUUUCCUGAUAUUGAAUACUAAUUUUAGUAUUCUAUUUUCUAAUAUGAAGAUGUUGAUGUAUAUCUACAUCUAUAAUAAUUUUUUCAUUCGUGAUGAUAUUCAUUAUAUUGCAGACACGAUUUUGAUAAAUUUUCAAUUGUCCUUCUUUAUCC